rnacentral:snRNA from 1 species
CUUCUCGGCAGAACAUAUACUAAAAUUACAACGAUGCAGACAAGACUAGCAGGACCCUUGCGCACGGAUAACAUGUAAAAUCAAGCGCUCCACAUGUUU